AGAAAAUGUUGUCUUUCAAGUCUUGAAAAUCAAAAUUUGUGAUAUAUAGUUGAUCUAAUGUGAUCAAAUAAAAAGUUGACCUAAUUAGAGUAAUUAAAAACUUUGGGGUACAUAUUGAUUAUGAGAGUUCCCAUUUUAAAAUUUAAAAAAGGCUGACUCUGGGAAUCAUUUCUGGUUCAUCAAGAGAAAUCACACCAAUCUUCUGCCUCCAGAUACAUCAGUAAUUAAUUAUCACUUUUGCUCCCAAAGUAACUUGACCAUGACUAUAAAAUAUUGUGUAAUGAACCAUAUGCAUCAGUAAGAUAAACAGAUCUACAUCUCCAUUUUGCUAACAGUAAGAGCAGCCAGCUCUACCACUCCAAAUUUGCAGACAUAAACCAACACCUUGCUGUCUACAGUGUCUCUCAUCCAGGUGAUCGGGAUGAUGGUCUCAUAGUGCGGUGAUGAAAACAUUUAUCUGUGUUACUUGCAAUUCACUCUAUUUCCUGCUACUCUUUUUUGAAGGAACAACUAGUCCCCUUUUCUCCAGGCUUUUAAAUCGAUCUCUUGCAAGGGUGCAACAUCCCUUUAAUUUACGCAGGGAACCAGUAAUCUCUUCAGACAGUAAAACCUGAGCAGGAGCAGGCACGAAUUUGCGCUUUCCCAAGCGUGGUGGACAAGAUUUUAGUUUUUCUUUUAUAGCAGUGACACGACGUAGAUGUCGUUUCUGUUUUUCUCCUUCCUCUCUCUCUAUUUCUUGAAUAAUAUCCGGUAAGCUAUCAAUCUCUUUGGAGAGUUGUGCUGCUUUUGUUGCUUCAGCUUCUGCUUUCAACUGUUCUUUGCGUCUAGCCCGUCGAUUCUUCUCAACUUGAGUCAGCAUUUUGGGCUUUUGCGGCCUUUUAUCCAAAUCUGUUUUUCCGUCUUCCACUAGAUUUUCAUUCUCCGUGUCACUCCCACUGUCCGCUUCAAGGAAAUACAUAUCUUCUUCAUUGACUACCUCUCCAGGAACAACCAAUGGAAUAGGCUCCGGACCCAAUUCAUUUCUAUAAAUUUUCUGCAUUUCAUCUGCAACAGCACAAGCUAAUGCAUCCUGAUGACUUUCGGAUGGAGGAUUGAAUGAGCAUCCUGGAGGCUCAACU
rnacentral:misc_RNA from 1 species